GAUGAACGCUGGCGGCGUGCCUAAUACAUGCAAGUCGAGCGAACAGACGAGGAGCUUGCUUCUCUGACGUUAGCGGCGGACGGGUGAGUAACACGUGGAUAACCUACCUAUAAGACUGGGAUAACUUCGGGAAACCGGAGCUAAUACCGGAUAAUAUAUUGAACCGCAUGGUUCAAUAGUGAAAGACGGUUUUGCUGUCACUUAUAGGUGGAUCCGCGCCGCAUUAGCUAGUUGGUAAGGUAACGGCUUACCAAGGCAACGAUGCGUAGCCGACCUGAGAGGGUGAUCGGCCACACUGGAACUGAGACACGGUCCAGACUCCUACGGGAGGCAGCAGUAGGGAAUCUUCCGCAAUGGGCGAAAGCCUGACGGAGCAACGCCGCGUGAAUGAUGAAGGUCUUCGGAUCGUAAAACUCUGUUAUUAGGGAAGAACAAAUGUGUAAGUAACUAUGCACGUCUUGACGGUACCUAAUCAGAAAGCCACGGCUAACUACGUG
rnacentral:rRNA from 1 species